CCUGCCCCUACAAGUGUUGCAAGUAUGGCUGCUGUGUCACAUAUGUACCAGUAGAUGGCAGAGAGGAGAGAGUCUAUGUCUAAGCUCAGUGCUCUGACCUAUGGACAUCUGAUUAGCAGCCUACCAUU